rnacentral:misc_RNA from 1 species
CAUCGCUCUCUCACUUUGCUCCUCUCUUUAUUUUAUAUACAUUUCUUUCUCUCUUUUUAACUCCCAUCUCCUCUCUACGUUUACUUCAUAUAAGUACAUUCGUAACAGAAAAGGAUAAAACUUCAAAAUGGCUGCGUGUGUCGUGGGCCCGAACCUAAAUACUUGCCAACCGGCGGGCGAUGUGGGUGAAGCGAGUAUCAUACACCCACCGGUGGAAUGUGGACCAAAAGGUGAACUUGACUGUAGGACCAAGAGAGAGACAUUCGAAGAUUCAGUGCUGAUGACUAACACUGGAAAUGAUAUGGGUAUCUCGACCCAAGGUUACCGAAGCAACAAAUAUAACGAUAUGGAGUGGAAUAACAAUAACUACGCCAAAUAUUUUCAAUCUGCCUCUGACAGACACAACUCUGAAGUGAUCCGCAACGACUCCUCAAAUACUAUGAAUACCACAGAGGCCAUCACCAAGAAAACCCAGGAUGACAUGACCAAGAAGCUAGGAGAGAGAAUACAAGACAUUAGUUUCUGGAAGUUUGAACUUGAACGAGCUAUCCAAGACAUGCAAGAUGAGAUAGAUCUGCAAGUGACAAUGAAGAGACAACUGGAGAAUGCACUGCGUUCUGUUGAGAUACCGCUGCACAUUGCAUCAGAUAACCUGAACUGCAGGCUGCGUCGACAAGGAAUUGAUCUUGUUGAGGAUAUUGUUGAAAAAGCUUUACUUCAGGAAGUCAAGUUAAUUAACAAUGUACAGGAACUUCUGAAGAAGACAAUCGCAAAAACUGACGAACAACUCGAGAAUAACCGUCUUACAAAGCAAAAGAUGGAGAUGGAUUGGAGUGAUAAAAAGGAGGCACUACAGAUUGACAGUCGAUGUGCAAUACUGAGGAACCACCACACCAACAAGCAGUUCUUUCCUGGUUCAGCUAAUUUCCAGGAAAUACAAUCAACUCCUGAAUCUUGGGCACAGUUCACCCAUGACAACAUAAUUCUGGCUGAAAAUGAGCGAAAGUCAUCCAUUCAGUUGCGAGAAUGUGCAAAGAACAUCUUGGAGGAUACUUCCAGAGACCUGUUUGAGCAGAAUAAUAUCGUACAGUCUGCUUUCCAGAAACGUCUGCAAGAACUUGAUGAUGCCAAAUUUAGACAUGAAAGCCAUUUGAAGAAGGUAUGUCAAGAAAUUUCUGAUGAAGAGAAAAAUAUUGAAGGUCUGCUGAAGGCUAUCAGAGACAAGGAAGAUCCUCUAAAAGUUGCUCAAACCCGCCUUGAUGCAAGGUCUCGCCGUCCAGGAGUUGAGCUGUGUAGAGAUGGCAUCCAAAUUGGAUUAAUCCAAGAAGUUGAUGAAAUUAACACUUCCAUUACAACCCUGAAAAAGAAACUGAUGGAAGCUCAGAAUUCUCUCAAGAACCUGCAAGACACAAGGAUGUGUUUAGAGAAAGAAAUUUCAAACAAGAUAAAUUCCAUUUUUAUCGACAGGCAGAAAUGCCUUCCAAUGCGAGAACGCUACCCUACAGUGCUGCGUUUACAGGGUUAUCAAUAACUAGUUCAGCACUCUUGUGUGAUUUGUCAAUGGGUUGCCCGGUACACACACACACACACACACACACACACACACACACACAGGUGCAUAUAUCAACACAUAUUUCUAUAUGCUUCAUAAUACUCAGAAUUCAACAUGUAAACACACACAAUUUCACAUCUUUUCUCUCUCUCUCUCUUUACACACACACACACACACAUAUACUAUAAAAAACAAGCAAAGAAGGGGUUUUUAUGAGGAUACAACACAACCGAUAUUAAUUGCUAUACAUUAU